AGACCGAUAGCGAACAAGUAGAGUGAUCGAAAGAUGAAAAGUACUUUGGAAAGAGAGUUAAAAAGCACGUGAAAUUGUUGAAAGGGAAGCGCUUGCAAUCAGACUUGGCCUCGGUUGUUCAACCGGUCUUUUGACCGGCCUAUUCAAUCGGGGGCAGGCCAGCAUCAGUUUCGGCGGCCGGAUAAAGGCCUUGGGAAUGUGGCCUCUCCUUCGGGGGAGGUGUUAUAGCCCAGGGUGUAAUACGGUCAGCUGGGACUGAGGUCCGCGCUUCGGCUAGGAUGCUGGCGUAAUGGUUGUAAGCGGCCCGUCUUGAAACACGGACCAAG
rnacentral:rRNA from 1 species